ACUCCGAAAUGGCAUUGGAAACUACCUUGCUCGAGGGUUGGAGGGGGGACUGGAAUACUUGGUGUAGCAGUGAAAUGCGUAGAUAUCAAGUGGAACACCAGUGGCGAAGGCGAGUCCCUGGACAACUCCUGACACUGAGGCACGAAAGCUAGGGGAGCAAACAGGAUUAGAUACCCUGGUAGUCCUAGCCGUAAACGGUGCAUGUUUGCUGUAAAAGGAAUCGACCCCUUUUGUGGCGUAGCCAACGCGUUAAACAUGCCGCCUGGGAAGUACGGUCGCAAGAUUAAAACUCAAAGAAAUUGACGGGGGCCUGCACAAGCGGUGGAGUAUGUGGCUCAAUUCGAUGCAACGCGAAGAACCUUACCUGGCCUUGACAUGCAUAUAGUAGAAGGGUGAAAGCCUGACGAGGUAGCAAUACCAGUAUGCACAGGUGCUG
rnacentral:rRNA from 1 species